UGGGGAAUAUUGCACAAUGGGCGAAAGCCUGAUGCAGCAACGCCGCGUGAGUGAUGAAGGUCUUCGGAUUGUAAAGCUCUGUCUUUUGGACGAUAAUGACGGUACCAAAGGAGGAAGCCACGGCUAACUACGUGCCAGCAGCCGCGGUAAUACGUAGGUGGCGAGCGUUGUCCGGAUUUACUGGGCGUAAAGGGUGCGUAGGCGGAUGUUUAAGUGAGAUGUGAAAUACCCGGGCUUAACUUGGGUGCUGCAUUUCAAACUGGAUAUCUAGAGUGCAGGAGAGGAGAAUGGAAUUCCUAGUGUAGCGGUGAAAUGCGUAGAGAUUAGGAAGAACACCAGUGGCGAAGGCGAUUCUCUGGACUGUAACUGACGCUGAGGCACGAAAGCGUGGGUAGCAAACAGGAUUAGAUA
rnacentral:rRNA from 1 species